rnacentral:rRNA from 1 species
UGCAAGUCGAACGCUUCUUUCCUCCCGAGUGCUUGCACUCAAUUGGAAAGAGGAGUGGCGGACGGGUGAGUAACACGUGGGUAACCUACCCAUCAGAGGGGGAUAACACUUGGAAACAGGUGCUAAUACCGCAUAACAGUUUAUGCCGCAUGGCAUAAGAGUGAAAGGCGCUUUCGGGUGUCGCUGAUGGAUGGACCCGCGGUGCAUUAGCUAGUUGGUGAGGUAACGGCUCACCAAGGCCACGAUGCAUAGCCGACCUGAGAGGGUGAUCGGCCACACUGGGACUGAGACACGGCCCAGACUCCUACGGGAGGCAGCAGUAGGGAAUCUUCGGCAAUGGACGAAAGUCUGACCGAGCAACGCCGCGUGAGUGAAGAAGGUUUUCGGAUCGUAAAACUCUGUUGUUAGAGAAGAACAAGGACGUUAGUAACUGAACGUCCCCUGACGGUAUCUAACCAGAAAGCCACGGCUAACUACGUG